CCUACGGGAGACAACAGUGGGGGAUAUUGCACAAUGGGGGAAACCCUGAUGCAGCGACGCCGCGUGGGUGAAGAAGCGCCUCGGCGCGUAAAGCCCUGUCAGCAGGGAAGAAAAUGACGGUACCUGAAGAAGAAGCCCCGGCUAACUACGUGCCAGCAGCCGCGGUAAUACGUAGGGGGCAAGCGUUAUCCGGAUUUACUGGGUGUAAAGGGGGCGCAGACGGCGAUGCAAGCCAGGAGUGAAAGCCCGGGGCCCAACCCCGGGACUGCUCUUGGAACUGCGUGGCUAGAGUGCAGGAGGGGCAGGCGGAAUUCCUGGUGUAGCGGUGAAAUGCGUAGAUAUCAGGAGGAACACCGGUGGCGAAGGCGGCCUGCUGGACUGCAACUGACGUUGAGGCCCGAAAGCGUGGGGAGCAAACAGGAUUAGAUACCCCAGUAGUC
rnacentral:rRNA from 1 species